rnacentral:rRNA from 1 species
GACGAACGCUGGCGGCGUGCUUAACACAUGCAAGUCGAACGGAAAGGCCUCUUUCGGGGGGUACUCGAGUGGCGAACGGGUGAGUAACACGUGAGUAACCUGCCCUUGACUUUGGGAUAACUUCAGGAAACUGGGGCUAAUACCGGAUAGGAGCUCCUGCUGCAUGGUGGGGGUUGGAAAGUUUCGGCGGUUGGGGAUGGACUCGCGGCUUAUCAGCUUGUUGGUGGGGUAGUGGCUUACCAAGGCUUUGACGGGUAGCCGGCCUGAGAGGGUGACCGGCCACAUUGGGACUGAGAGACGGCCCAGACUCCUACGGGAGGCAGCGGUGGGGAAUAUUGCACAAUGGGUGGAAGCCUGAUGCAGCAACGCCGUGUGCGGGAUGACGGCCUUCGGGUUGUAAACCGCUUUCGCUCAUGACGAAGCUUUGUGUGACGGUAGUGGGUAAAGAAGCACCGGCUAACUACGUG